rnacentral:rRNA from 1 species
GACGAACGCUGGCGGCGUGCUUAACACAUGCAAGUCGAACGGAAAGGCCCUGCUUUUGUGGGGUGCUCGAGUGGCGAACGGGUGAGUAACACGUGAGUAACCUGCCCUUGACUUUGGGAUAACUUCAGGAAACUGGGGCUAAUACCGGAUAGGAGCUCCUGCUGCAUGGUGGGGGUUGGAAAGUUUCGGCGGUUGGGGAUGGACUCGCGGCUUAUCAGCUUGUUGGUGGGGUAGUGGCUUACCAAGGCUUUGACGGGUAGCCGGCCUGAGAGGGUGACCGGCGACAUUGGGACUGAGAUACGGCCCAGACUCCGACGGGAGGCAGCAGUGGGGAAUAUUGCACAAUGGGCGGAAGCCUGAUGCAGCAACGCCGCGUGCGGGAUGACGGCCUUCGGGUUGUAAACCGCUUUCGCCUGUGACGAAGCGUGAGUGACGGUAAUGGGUAAAGAAGCACCGGCUAACUACGUG